GUGUUUGUAGCUCAGUGGUGGAUAGAGCGUGCUUCUAAGUAGAAGGUCGUGGGUUCGACCCCUACCUGACGCG
rnacentral:tRNA from 1 species